UACGUAGGCAGCGAGCGUUGUUCGGAGUUACUGGGCGUAAAGCGUGCGCAGGCGGUUAUGUAAGACAGAUGUGAAAUGCCCGGGCUUAACCUGGGAACUGCAUUUGUGACUGCAUGGCUAGAGUUUGGCAGAGGGGGGUAGAAUUCCACGUGUAGCAGUGAAAUGCGUAGAUAUGUGGAGGAACACCGAUGGCGAAGGCAGCCCCCUGGGUCAAGACUGACGCUCAUGCACGAAAGCGUGGGGAGCAAACAGG
rnacentral:rRNA from 1 species